AACUUUCAGCAACGGAUCUC
rnacentral:rRNA from 1 species